rnacentral:tRNA from 1 species
GCCCCCGUAGCUCAGCUGGCAAGAGCGCCGGGCUUUUAACCCGGGUUGUCGCGGGUUCGAGUCCCGCCGGGGGCA